CAGGAAGUCGCGCUCCUUGGAAGCUGUGGAGUUGGUGAGGGCCUGAAGUUCACCCCCUUGUGAGUUUCUCGAGCUUCUUGUCCUCGACAUGUCUGAAAGUCAGCUCACUCUCCCUCUUCCUCCGGAGCACUGGACCUGUCUCUACUACUUCAAACACAGUACUGAAAAGGAGUGUGGACAGUGGACAACUACUUCCUUCCUGGCUCCACUGAGGUCGCUUCAAGACUUUCUCCACUUAGGAUAGUGCACAGCUUUUAUCACGUUGAGGUAAUUGGAAGCUUUGAAGUUGAUCAAAGUGAAUUCUUUCACCAAGGAACUGAGAAUAGCCAUGCACCCGUGAUCAGGGCUGGCGGUACUUGUAAGGUCUGUGUUCUCAAAGACAAAAGAGUGGGCAGAUGCAGCAGAGACCAAGAGUCUUGGGGCCAGAGGGACAAGGACAAAAGAGACGCAGGAGCAGAAAGAGAGCACUGGAAACGUUCUGGGUCUGCAAAAUUCUGCUGUCCUUGCUAAAACUGGACUCCUUGGGAUGCUUUAACGGCCUCACGCCACCAGGAGAUCUUUCUCGACUUUGCACUGUUAGAAUUCCAGGAGACAGCAUCUACUAAGGUGGUUGGUCCCUCUCAGACUAUGGUUCCCAGCAAUUGCUCAUGCUAGUCCACACUCAGCCUCUAGCAAUUUAUCAAAGUGCUAUUUAAGUGGUUUCUUCUAGCUUAUAGCUUGAGUGACUUCUGCUUCAAACACGAAGAUCUAUGCUAUGCAUCAGGAAAUCUGAAACACCUAGGAAUGAAGUUAAUAAAGAUACAGAAGUCUGCCAGUUUGACAGCUAUAAAACACUGUAGAGAGGAAUCGGGGAACACCUAAAUAAAUGGAGAGCCACACCAUGGUUAUAGAUUGGAAAUUUCAAUAUCACGAAGAUAUCAAUUAUGUCAGUUCCCAUGGCUGCCAUGACAAAUCACCACAAACUUAGAGGUUUCUAAUAACACAAAUUUAUUAUCUUACAGCUCUGUAGGUUGGAAUUCUGAUCAAGGACUCAUGAGAUCAAGACUGUAUUCCUUCUGUGGCUCUAGGGAAGAAUCAGUUUCUUUACCUUGCCCGGCUCCCAUAGACCACCCACUCUCUUUUCCAAGUACCUCUCCACCUUCAAAGCCAGGGACAGCAUGUCAAGUUCCUUUUGUAUUGUAUCAUUCUGACUUCCUCUUUUCUCAUCUUCUUCUUAUACAUUUAAGGGACCUAAAUGUCAACCCUGAGCCCAGCCACAUGAGCUAGGUCAACCUCCAUGUUUUAAAGUCAGCUGAGUAACAAGCUGAAUUUGCCCUUUGCCAUACACCCUACCAAAUUUAUAAGUCCCCAAAUCUAGGGCAUGGAUAAUUUCAGCAGGAGGAAGGAGAAAACUUAGUUCCACUUCCUUAAAUGAUAUACAGUUUCAAUGCAUUUUCAAUAAGAUACCAGCAUGCCUUGUGUAGAAAUUGCCAAGUUGAUACUCAAAUGUAUAAAG